UUUACCAUCGGCAACAAGCUUUCGCCAUACUCGGAUAGAAUCUGUGUAAGCGGGCUACCCGAAAUUCAAAAGGAGAGCUCCCGCGUCGGUCAGGCGACCGAGGCGUCGCGACGCACACUUAAGAAGAAAUAUCCCCAGACCCAGACGUAACAACUAUACAUUCAUUUUUUUACUGUUUAUUUACUCAAUGAAACAGUUGCCAAAAUAUAUUGGGUGUUUACGAGGUUACACGACAUUUUCCCGAAAACUAGAUGAGAAAAUGUUGGUACUAACCAAAUUCUCUAGGCAAUACCGUUUCAAUUUCUGCAGGUUAGUAACACUGUUAAAGUAGUAAAUCCAAGGUUUGCAGAGUCGGUUUUGACGUAUGCGCGCGUAUAUGUCAAACAAUAAAUAUUAUAUAAAUGAUUUAUGACAUUUGAUUUAAUAAAUGAAUAAAAAUUACACAAAUAACUAAAAAUAUAGUGCAUAGAGAUGAACAAGACAAGAUUUAUGAUUGAAAUCUGGUUUUCCAUAUUAAAAUCAUUGUCAGCCGAGAAACAAAAUCUGUGCAAAAUAAAAUAGAAACAUAAAGAAGGAAGAGGGAAAAAAAUAAAUGGAGAAUAAACAAAUAUAUAUCAGAUAAGUAGCUAAUAUCUUUAUAAAAAAUUAUGUAUUCUAUAUGUGCUUUUUGUAGAUGAACUGAUUCUUUUCUUGAAUUAAUUUUUUGUUUCAGCUUCUUAGCCAAUUGUAGAAUGUUGACAGCUGGACCACCAGAAAACAAUUUCUUGCCGAAUAAAGCUGUCAAAUUCUAAGUCUGCUACUUCUUCGAGUAUGUCAAAAUUGUGAGCAAAAAAGUUGAAAUUAUAUUGUAACAUCAAUUAGAUUUAUCAACGGUGGAGUAACAGAUUGAUACAACAAACUGAGAGCAGGUUUGUCGAAAUUGUUUGUUCUACAAAGCAUAUGUGCUGUUUGUCUCAGCAAUGUACCGACAUUAUUUAAACUAAAAGAGAUCCCAGAUAGCACGGAGAGUUUAAAAAGAACUCAAUUGUACGUCACCAAUUAUGUUACCAAUUAUGAAUUCUUUUUGAAUCUCUGUGCUAUCUGGGAUACUAUUGUGGGUGCAUUCCGAAAUCUACUGACAGUACUGACAGUACUGCUACUGAAAUUACUGGGUUUGAGCUGUUCCGAAACGCCAGUGAAUACUGGCAACACUGAAAAACGGAAUGCGUUUACAGUCAAACCAGCAACUGUUGAUGCCAUCAUAAAAACCUAACCUAUUAAUGUACGGCGGACGGCGGCCAUAUGCUUUACUGAAUUUGCACUACCUCCGGACAAUGUGUAAAAUUAGCCGGAAGUCAGUAAUUCCCUAGGGUCUAUUUUUGUAGAAUAGAUAGUAAUUUACAGUUGCUGACAGCACGCUGAAAAUGAUUUCGGAACGAAAAAACAGUACUGUCAGUACUGGCAGUAGAUUUCGGAACGCACCCUGUGUUUAUCGUCAACCUGUCAUGAACGCUUUCGAUAGACCUCCCUUACGGAAAAAAUACUAAAAAUAACACUUAAAAAAAUACUCAAGUUGAGUGUAAUUUGGGACAAGAGCAAACAGAAAAUGUGCUACCUACAUUGGCUUUUACAAGAAUGGGUUUAGAAGUAGCGAUGGAUGCUUGUCCAACAAUCGAAGAUCAUUUCAUAAGUGAAUACACUAUUUGAUGUAAAAUAAACCAAAAUUAUCUUUUUAAAAACGGUAAAAAAGACGCCAAGUGUAUGCUGUAGAAAACACCUCUUAAAUCUAAGAUAGUCUUCAUCUAAUUCAACCCAAGUAAUAUCACGAGCCUUCUUAUACUAUAACUAAAAUGUAACUUUAAUUAUUAAACUAAUAAUUAUUUUAAAUGAAUUAUACUCACAAACACACACACACACACACACACACACAUUAACUACAAAAAUAAUGAUAUCAAAAUAUUUCUUUAACGAUAAUUUGUUUUACUCCAAAUAGUAUAUGUUUACUUACGAAAUGAUACUCGAUGUUACAAUGUGAUAUCAACUUUUUUGCUUACAAUUUUGGCAUACUCGAGGAAGUAGCAGGCUUAGAAUUUGACAGCAUACUCGGCAAGGAAUCGUUCUCUGAUGGUUCAGCUGUCAACAUUCUACAAUUAGCAAAGAAGCUGAAACAAAAAAUUAAUUCAAGAAAAGAAUCGGUUCAUCUACAAAAAGCACAUAUAGAAUACAUAAUUUCUUAUAAAGAUAUUAACUACUUAUC